CAUGACUCAAAGGGGUGCUUCAUUGGGAUGCAUUUAUGUGUCUCUUUGUCGCUGAGAUUAUACUCUUAUAAGCUGACCAGGGUAAUACCUGCGUAGUGAUUGAGCCAAUGAUCGGG
rnacentral:ncRNA from 1 species